rnacentral:misc_RNA from 1 species
GACGAGGGGGGCGAGUGUUAUUCAACGUGAUUGGGCGUAAAGAGUACGUAGGCUGGUCAUAGAUUACGUAGGUCGAAGUUCACAGUGCAACUGUGGGUGGCGUACGUUUACUAUAGGCCUGGAGAGUAGAAGGGGUUUGCGGUAUUCUUAGAGUAGCUCAGUAGGUGUGGAAUCUAAGGAGACCUUCAGAGGCGGAGGCGGCAUGCCAUUCUGUUCUGACGUUGAGGUACGGAGGCUUGGGGAUCGAACAGG